rnacentral:rRNA from 1 species
GGGGUAGAAUUCCACGUGUAGCAGUGAAAUGCGUAGAGAUGUGGAGGAAUACCGAUGGCGAAGGCAGCCCCCUGGGAUAACACUGACGCUCAUGUACGAAAGCGUGGGUAGCAAACAGGAUUAGAUACCCUGGUAGUCCACGCCCUAAACGAUGUCAACUGGUUGUUGGGAGAGUGAAAUCUCUGUAACGAAGCUAACGCGUGAAGUU